GCUGAUAUGGCCGAGUGGUUAAGGCGAUGGUCUUAAGAUCCAUUGUCGCAAGACUCAGGAGUUCGAACCUCCUUGUCAGCA
rnacentral:tRNA from 1 species